rnacentral:rRNA from 1 species
GACGUACUUGUACUGAUUGAGAUUUUAACACGAAGUGAGUGGCGAACGGGUGAGUAACACGUGGGUAACCUGCCCAGAAGUAGGGGAUAACACCUGGAAACAGAUGCUAAUACCGUAUAACAGAGAAAACCGCAUGGUUUUCUUUUAAAAGAUGGCUCUGCUAUCACUUCUGGAUGGACCCGCGGCGUAUUAGCUAGUUGGUGAGGUAAAGGCUCACCAAGGCAGUGAUACGUAGCCGACCUGAGAGGGUAAUCGGCCACAUUGGGACUGAGACACGGCCCAGACUCCUACGGGAGGCAGCAGUAGGGAAUCUUCCACAAUGGACGCAAGUCUGAUGGAGCAACGCCGCGUGAGUGAAGAAGGGUUUCGGCUCGUAAAGCUCUGUUGUUAAAGAAGAACGUGGGUAAGAGUAACUGUUUACCCAGUGACGGUAUUUAACCAGAAAGCCACGGCUAACUACGUGCCAGCAGCCGCGGUAAUACGUAGGUGGCAAGCGUUAUCCGGAUUUAUUGGGCGUAA